CUUUUGUUUGUUGUUCAUCUACAGAUGGACGUUUUUCUACCAUCGUCAGCAGUGCUGCUGUGGACAUUCAUGUCUACUAGCUCAUUGUAGCCCAAAGAAAGCCUUUUCACUGGAUGUGGAAAAAACAGACUGAAGAAACAGAAGACAGACUGAUUCUUCAGAACUCACCCAGCUGCGUGCGCUCUGCCUCACGUGUACCGACGGGGUCUGGGUUGCUGCCCCGCCCCACUCAGGCUUUCUCAGCUCUCCCCUGUUCCCUGCCCUGUUUCUCCUCUGUGCCCCAGCUCUCUUCCACUUAUGGAAGCAAGAUGAUAUGCUCUGCCAACACAGAGGGAAGGCAAGGGCUUCCUUUUCCAUGGCCCCAGGUAAGACAUAUGUUUUGACUGAAUUACAUGUCCACAACCCGAGGUCAGAGUUGUGGGUGAGGGUGGGAUAAACAUUUUGGGGAUCAUAUUUGGCCAAGAGUCGGAGAAAUGAAGUUCUUGAAGGAAAUUAGGAUACUGCUUCUGGAAGAAACAGGGAAAUGGAUGGUUAGGAGUUUCUCACUACUAGAGAGAAAGUUCUCGGGUUUUGUUUUGAUUGUUUGUGGUGCCUUUAAGACAUUCAUGAAAUAGUUGAUGGUUAAUCUCAGAGGAGAGCUCUGGGAUGAUUUUCAUAAAAGUAUCAUUGAAAUUAAUGAUAUGGGUGAAAUCAACUAGGGAGAAGAGUACACAAUGAGAAAAAAACCAAUGGACAAGUGAUGAGGAAUUCCAACAGGAAGUUGGAAUUCUCCUAGAUAAAAGAGAAUUGACUCUGAAAAUAGAAGGUAAAAUAGCCAGAGAAGCAGGAAGAAAUCAAGAAAGACUUGUGAAACACAAUGGCUGUUUUCUUGGAAUUUAGUCUAAUAACCAGGCA
rnacentral:lncRNA from 1 species